rnacentral:rRNA from 1 species
AUUGAACGCUGGCGGCAUGCCUUACGCAUGCAAGUCGAACGGUAACAGGUCUUCGGAUGCUGACGAGUGGCGAACGGGUGAGUAAUACAUCGGAACGUGCCUAGUAGUGGGGGAUAACUACUCGAAAGAGUGGCUAAUACCGCAUGAGAUCUACGGAUGAAAGCAGGGGAUCGCAAGACCUUGUGCUACUAGAGCGGCCGAUGGCAGAUUAGGUAGUUGGUGGGAUAAAAGCUUACCAAGCCGACGAUCUGUAGCUGGUCUGAGAGGACGAUCAGCCACACUGGGACCGAGAAACGGCCCAGACUCCUACGGGAGGCAGCAGUGGGGAAUUUUGGACAAUGGGCGCAAGCCUGAUCCAGCAAUACCGCGUGCAGGAUGAAGGCCUUCGGGUUGUAAACUGCUUUUGUACGGAACGAAAAGCCCCGGGUUAAUACCCUGGGGUCAUGACGGUACCGUAAGAAUAAGCACCGGCUAACUACGUGCCAGCCGCCGCAGUAA